UUGAAAACAUUUUCAACCGAGUGUCACAAACUGUAAAUUGACAAAAGUUAUAAAGGGGUUUUUUUUUGAAAAAGCUAAUUAGUCGCAAAACGUUCAAAAUGGAUAACAGCCGCAUCAAGAACCGGCGUUUAUUGAAAAGGAGAUUAUUGCGAAUAUUAACGCGAAAUGCCAACUAAUUAUAAUAAAGCUGACGGCCUGCGCUGCGCCUGGGGUACUCAAAAAGGAACUGAAUGCCUAUAGGCUCAUCAAAGCAGAGACAGUCGAAGAUGAAAAGAAUUUGGAUUUGAUUUUACUGGCCCAGUUAAAUUCUAUAAAUAUGUGCACUACUCCUUGGAAUAAAUUACUAAUA